ACGCUCUAGGUGAAUAUAGGUUGUCUCAAUCGAAUAGCAGUAGCGGCUGCCACCACUAGCAAACAGUAGUGUUGGCACCGAAUCCCACUCUUCGAUAUAACAUUGUUCUUCUCCCCACAAUUACACCAGCGUCUCUGUGAUGUUGUGGCUAACCUCUGUCUCCAGCAGCAACCGCUUUGGCAUGAAGCACUGAAAGGUCUUAUUCCUCGUGCUGGUGCAGGAGAAAAUAAGGGAGAGGAUAAAACAGACGCAACGAAACAGCAAUAGUAUUUUAAGUACGGAGUACUGGUAACCUAUUCGCGAAACCAUACUGGUAUGGGAUGAAUGACUGCUUGCAAGAGUUCUCCUAAUACCAUCAAGCGCAGCAGAACCUCAUGGGGAGAUGAUAAGG
rnacentral:sRNA from 1 species